AUUGAACGCUGGCGGCAGGCCUAACACAUGCAAGUCGAGCGGAUGAAGGGAGCUUGCUCCUGGAUUCAGCGGCGGACGGGUGAGUAAUGCCUAGGAAUCUGCCUGGUAGUGGGGGAUAACGUCCGGAAACGGGCGCUAAUACCGCAUACGUCCUGAGGGAGAAAGUGGGGGAUCUUCGGACCUCACGCUAUCAGAUGAGCCUAGGUCGGAUUAGCUAGUUGGUGGGGUAAAGGCCUACCAAGGCGACGAUCCGUAACUGGUCUGAGAGGAUGAUCAGUCAAAAGGGAAAUGAGACACGGGACGGAGAACGAGGGGAGGAAGAAGUGGGGAAAAGGAAGAGAGGGGCGAAAGGAGGAGGGAGCCAGGGGGAGGGUGUGAAGAAGGGUGUGAGAUUGAAAAGCACGUUAAGGUGGGAGGAAGGGCAGUAAGUUUAUGCUUUGUUUUGUUGAGGUUAGCAAAAGAAAAAGAACCGACAAACUGCGUGCCAGCGGCCGAGAAAAUGAACAGAACAGAAAACGUCUAAAC
rnacentral:rRNA from 1 species